rnacentral:rRNA from 1 species
UACGGGGGGGGCAAGCGUUGUUCGGAAUUACUGGGCGUAAAGAGCUCGUAGGCGGCCUGUUGCGUCCGCUGUGAAAGCCCGGGGCUUAACCCCGGGUCGGCAGUGGAUACGGGCAGGCUAGAGGUAGGCAGGGGAGAAUGGAAUUCCCGGUGUAGCGGUGAAAUGCGCAGAUAUCGGGAGGAACACCGGUGGCGAAGGCGGUUCUCUGGGCCUUACCUGACGCUGAGGAGCGAAAGCGUGGGGAGCGAACAGG